AUAAUGGCAGAAUAGUGGACAAUACAGAUAUGAAGCAGCAUUUAGACACUAGCGAAAAUUUUUACGUGAUUAACAUCGAAUAAAUUAGAGUUACGAAUGGACAAAGGCGAAUUAUUAGGAUGAGGUAUCAAAUAUUUGGGUUUCCUUAUUUCUAAAAAAUUAUAUUCAGGCAAAUGAAAAGGGAAUAGAAGCGGAAAAAAUGAUUCUUACACAGGCAAUUUAUGAUCAUGGGCAUGACACUAAAAUAGAUAGUGACAUCAGCUCUUUAGAGGUUGGUGUCGUGUUAGUACAUAAAAAAGACGAUGGAAAACUUCAUCCGGGUUUUUAUUUCUUAAGGCGUACUACAGAAGUGGAAAACAAGUACCGUAGGUUUUAAGUAGAAACUUUGGCAAUGGAUAAAAAGGCUGGAGUACGCGUUUACAAUGAUCAUGUCUAUAUAAAACUUAAUAGACAGCCAUGCAUAAUUUUAUGUAUGUGGACGUGUCUAACUUACACGGUGCUCUCCUGGCGAAUCCUGUUUGAAAGUAGUACUCAAUGAUAUGGG